UGGGCAACAAAGUGAGAGUCUAUCUCAAAAAGAAAAAAAAAAAAAAAAAAGAAAAAUAAAUAACAGUGACAGAGUAAGUAUAAUAUUACAAUUAUCUAGGCAGUCAUGAAUUACAUAGGUGUGCAUGGCAUGGGUUACUAUAUAAUGUUGGGUCUUUGGUAUAGAAAGAGAAAUUACUACAUUAAGAAGUUACUAUAUAAGAAAUAUAAUAACCAAAUGUCAUAUAUUAUAUUUUUUAGGGAUUUUAACUGCAGCCACACACAUUAUUCAAUUAGCACUUGCUUCUUCCUGCAAUUUUUGGUUUUGCUUGAGUAAUUAUUACUCUAUUUUUAUUAAUCUCCAUUUUGCAAAAUUAUACAUGCCAAAUACCAAACCCACAUCCCAGAAUUAUAACAAAUUUGGUUUCUAAAGCUUCCCAGAUGUUUAAAACGAAAGGGAUAUGUAAACCAAACUUCUGUAUGACUGAAGGAACUGAGAGCAAUAAUGAAGUGUGGUAAAAUAAGUAAUUUUGACUAUUAAUUUAAUAGCUCUCUUCUCAGAUUCAAUAUAUUUUCUCUGUCAACAGGUAAAGAACACAGACUGUAAAGUAAUAGAAUUAGGAAAAGUUUCAGGUUUGUGUGUGGAGCUCCUGCAGAUACAGUACCUUCUAACCCCUUUAACAAAUAUUUGAUUAGAUUAUUCUAGCUCAUUGAAUCUAUUAUAUCCUAGGAGCUGGCAAUAACCAAUACUCCUCCUCCUUAGGGAUGAAAGAAAAUGAUUUUUCUUCCUUUAUCCUGAUUCGUUUUGGAGAGAAAGUGGGAAAAGGAGGCCAGGAAAGCAAACAGCCUUGAAUUUUCUUCCACUAGAGGCAGAUGAUGGUAUAAUCAAAUAAAUUAAAAUCUGCAAACAUAGAUUUUUUUAAAAUCCAUAUUCAAAAAAUGUUGUUUCCAUAUUAAGCCCAGAGCUACAUUUAUAGGCAGAUUAAAACAAUAAGAUUUAACUGUCUGAUAGGCAACACAAGAUGAAGUGGGAGAAUUUAGAUUGGUUCCAUGCCUCUACAAUGAAAAGUCAUUUAGAUGUCAACUCUAAGAGAACAUUUGUUACAUCCCGUAUUGUUUCUCCCUCUAGGACUUUUGCUGAAGUUCUUUUGUCCAAGAGGGAAUCAAAAGCUCCUUCCCUUCAAAUCCUGUGAACCAUUUUCUUCUAAAAACAAAAAAUCUGUCUUUAGUAUCUUUUGAUGCUGGUCCUGGAACAGCUUUUACAAAGAAAACAACACAAUCAGUAAUCCUGGUCUAAGAGAUGUGAGAAAAUGAAUAGUCACAUUCUUGGUAUAGUAUGUCCAUGCAAACAAUUGUAGGUCUAUUAUCACUUUAUAAUCAUCUCACCAAGUAAUCUGGAACAGAAUGUUUAAUUCCAUGCUCUUUCUGUUGUAAACACAAUUAAAAACCUACCUAUUUUCACA